AUGAACGCUGGCGGCGUGCCUAAUACAUGCAAGUCGAGCGAACGGACGAGAAGCUUGCUUCUCUGAUGUUAGCGGCGGACGGGUGAGUAACACGUGGAUAACCUACCUAUAAGACUGGGAUAACUUCGGGAAACCGGAGCUAAUACCGGAUAAUAUUUUGAACCGCCUGGUUCAAAAGUGAAAGACGGUCUUGCUGUCACUUAUAGAUGGAUCCGCGCUGCAUUAGCUAGUUGGUAAGGUAACGGCUUACCAAGGCAACGAUGCAUAGCCGACCUGAGAGGGUGAUCGGCCACACUGGAACUGAGACACGGUCCAGACUCCUACGGGAGGCAGCAGUAGGGAAUCUUCCGCAAUGGGCGAAAGCCUGACGGAGCAACGCCGCGUGAGUGAUGAAGGUCUUCGGAUCGUAAAACCCUGUUAUUAGGGAAGAACAUAUGUGUAAGUAACUGUGCACAUCUUGACGGUACCUAAUCAGAAAGCCACGGCUAACUACGUG
rnacentral:rRNA from 1 species